rnacentral:rRNA from 1 species
UACGGGGGGGAGCAAGCGUUGUUCGGAUUUACUGGGCGUAAAGGGCGCGUAGGCGGCGCGACAAGUCACUUGUGAAAUCUCCGGGCUUAACUCGGAACGGUCAAGUGAUACUGUCGGACUAGAGUACAGAAGGGGCAACUGGAAUUCUCGGUGUAGCGGUGAAAUGCGUAGAUAUCGAGAGGAACACCUGCGGCGAAGGCGGGUUGCUGGGCUGAUACUGACGCUGAGGCGCGAAAGCCAGGGGAGCGAACGGG